GGACCCAUAUAUCGUAUUUCCAAGCCAUUAUCUCAACUAUACCAGUACUAAAACCUCAACAGAGUAGUAUGGCUUGGUGAAUCCCGAUGUGGGUUAUAAUGAGCACUAAUAUCGACGAAGAGCGUGACAGCUAGAGUGUGCACCAUUAAUGAAUUGUACACUCGGCUUUGUUGUCUUGCAAUAGAGUUGAAGUGGCCGGUGUUAUACACUGCAUUUUUCCUCAUUCACUGCUUCAGAGGAGAUUGACGAGGCCGGUAGAGACAAGGAGAGCGAGCACUGCAGCAAAUACAAAAUGUGAGUGUUAUGGUGGUGCUGCUAAGAAUAUGAAUUCUGAAAGGGAAGGGCUGGCACAGCGCACCUGAGAGACAGGUUACUUAGCCAAUUUACCUCAUAACACCUUUUUAUCAUAUGAAAAUAUUAUAGAGUACCUCAGAAUUGUAUUCAUGUAUUUGAAAGACAAUUUUGAAUGGAUAACUGUCGCUAAGGGUUAAAUCGCGAAAGCUUAUAUUGUGUGGAUUGGAUUUAAAGUUCCUUCUUGUUUCCUAUUGCAUCAUGCUGCAUGGUAUAAGGUUACUUUACCUCAUGAAAAAUCUCGGUCUAGGUGAUAUAAUGAAUUGCUCACAUUUUGGGUGUAGCCUGACUCCGUGAUAUUUUACUGGUUCUUUUACCUUUUGAAGAAUAUUGUCCCAGGUGCCAUUAUCUUUCAAAGGAAGUUGGCCCAGUUGUUGCUCUGGACCAUUGGAUUGAAUUCCCCUGCUUUUCAUGAUGCUUGCAGCUGCAUUCUCCAUCUUUACUAAAACUUUGAUGAAAUGCAAGGCCUGAUCUUUGUGUUACUUUAUUUCAGAUUCAAGCUCUGUAUGACCGGUUUGGGGUAUGUGUACUAUAUUUUUCACCGAACAGAGGAUUUAGAUGGAUUGAUAUGUCAUCCAAGUUAACUGGAUGGAUGUUAUGGUCUUAUAAACUCGAUAGGUUUUUAAUAAAAAUAAAUUUAAAAAAUC